rnacentral:rRNA from 1 species
GACGAACGCUGGCGGCGUGCUUAACACAUGCAAGUCGAACGGAAAGGCCCUGCUUUUGUGGGGUGCUCGAGUGGCGAACGGGUGAGUAACACGUGAGUAACCUGCCCUUGACUUUGGGAUAACUUCAGGAAACUGGGGCUAAUACCGGAUAGGAGCUCCUGCUGCAUGGUGGGGGUUGGAAAGUUUCGGCGGUUGGGGAUGGACUCGCGGCUUAUCAGCUUGUUGGUGGGGUAGUGGCUUACCAAGGCUUUGACGGGUAGCCGGCCUGAGAGGGUGACCGGCCACAUUGGGACUGAGAUACGGCCCAGACUCCUACGGGAGGCAGCAGUGGGGAAUAUUGCACAAUGGGCGGAAGCCUGAUGCAGCAACGCCGCGUGAGUGAUGAAGGCCUUAGGGUUGUAAAGCUCUUUUACCCGGGAUGAUAAUGACAGUACCGGGAGAAUAAGCUCCGGCUAACUCCGUG